UGGGGGGGGUGGGUGUUACUGCUAUCUACAGGUGGGUGGGGUGGUGGGGGGGGUGUUACUGCUAUCUACAGGUGGGGGGGGUGAGACUCCCCUCCCAUUAUAAUACACAGCCUUCAGAGCACAGGAACAACACUGCAUUAUAAACCCAGUCUAAUCCCUUAUGAGCCGUUAUAGCGUAGAGGUUAGCAGUAAAGUCACCAGGUACUUCAGCCGUCCAGCCCAAUGCACGCUGGGAGAUGUUAUUCAGGGGGGGAGGAGCCUAGCAGGGAAGCAGCCGGGGGAGGAGCCUAGCAGUGAAGCAGCCUGGUGACUGCCAGCAGCUGGUCUGUGGUGGGUUAUUGAUCAGGACCAAGCUGAUACAGUAUUAUUGAUUAUUGAUUGGCAGACACCAGAGACAACAUGAACAUAGACCUCUCGCCUUUGAGAGAGUCAGAGCAGAGCAAGGUGAAGCUGCCUCUAGAGUCUACAGGCACCGAUCUAAUGGUCACUUCCUGGUCUCCCCCAACAGCCAAGGUUAGGCUUGGUGGAUGGCAUGCUGAUCCUAGAUCGGUACUAAACAAGAGUCACCUGUGUUUGUUCACACCCGUCACAGUGGCCAAGAUGAACGACGAGAGACAAGACAGGUAGGAGGAAGGAGGAGGACCGGACCACAAUCUGUCAAAUGUCUUUCAAACCACACAUCUCUUAACACAACACUUCUCCAGUCCACACCUCCUGAGGGUUACAAUAAAAAAGCAGGAUCAAUGAGCUAAGCCAGAUAACUCUGAUAAACAACCAGAAAUAACUGCUGGUUUCCUGGUUGUUUAAAACAGUCUUUAAAAAAAAAAAAGAUAACAUUCUCAGUUCUCUAGGGUCAGAGAUAGUAAGCACUACAGUCCUGUCAGGUUGACUGAUCCUAGGUCAGUUCUCUAGGGUCAGAGAUAGUAAGCACUACAGUCCUGUCAGGUUGACUGAUCCUAGGUCAGUUCUCUAGGGUCAGAGAUAGUAAACACUACAGUCCUGUCAGGUUGACUGAUCCUAGGUCAGUUCUCUAGGGUCAGAGUUAGUAAGCACUACAGUCCUGUCAGGUUGACUGAUCCUAGGUCAGUUCUCUAGGGUCAGAGUUAGUAAGCACUACAGUGCUGUCCUGUCAGGUUGACUGAUCCUAGGUCAGUUCUCUAGGGUCAGAGUUAGUAAACACUACAGUGCUGUCCUGUCAGGUUGACUGAUCCUAGGUCAGUUCUCUAGGGUCCCCUGAUCGCGCAAUGUUCUGCUUGUUGAUUGGCCAGUUGGCCAGUUCUGCUUGUUGAUUGGCCAGUUAGACAGUUCUGCUUGUUGAUUGGCCAGUUAGACAGUUCUGCUUGUUAAUUGGCCAGUCACAGUUCUGCUUGUUGAUUAGCCAGUUAGACAGUUCUGCUUGUUGAUUGGCCAGUCACAGUUCUGCUUGUUGAUUGGCCAGUUAGACAGUUCUGCUUGUUGAUUGGCCAGUUAGACAGUCCUGCUUGUUGAUUGGCCAGUUAGACAGUCCUGCUUGUUGAUUGGCCACAGUUAGACAGGUCUGCUUGUUGAUUGGCCAGUUAGACAGUUCUGCUUGUUGAUUGGCCAGUUAGACAGUUCUGCUUGUUAAUUGGCCAGUUAGACAGUCCUGCUUGUUGAUUGGCCAGUUAGACAGUCCUGCUUGUUGAUUGGCCACAGUUAGACAGGUCUGCUUGUUGAUUGGCCACAGUUAGACAGUCCGGCUUGUUGAUUGGCCACAGUUAGACAGUUCUGCUUGUUGAUUGGUUAAUUGGCCAGUUAGACAGUUCUGCUUGUUGAUUGGCCAGUUAGACAGUCCUGCUUGUUGAUUGGCCAGUUAGACAGGUCUGCUUGUUGAUUGGCCACAGUUAGACAGGUCUGCUUGUUGAUUGGCCACAGUUAGACAGUCCGGCUUGUUGAUUGGCCACAGUUAGACAGUCUGGCUUGUUGAUUGGCCACAGUUAGACAGUCCGGCUUGUUGAUUGGACAGUUAGACAGGUCUGCUUGUUGAUUGGCCACAGUUAGACAGGUCUGCUUGUUGAUUGGCCACAGUUAGACAGGUCUGCUUGUUGAUUGGCCACAGUUAAGACAGGUCUGCUUGUUGAUUGGCCACAGUUCGACAGUUCUGGUAGUUGAUUGGCCAGUUAGACAGUUCUGCUUGUUGAUUGGCCAGUUAAGACAGUUCUGCUUGUUGAUUGGCCAGUUAAGACAGUUUUGACAGGUAACUCUGCUGUGAAUUGUCCUGUCUGUCUGUUGGUUCUGAAUCUCUCCAGAUAUUUGGUCUUGAGCCUUGACAAC
ensembl:lncRNA